ensembl:misc_RNA Metazoa_SRP Metazoan signal recognition particle RNA
GCCAGGCGUGGUGGUGCACACCUGUAAUCCCAGCUACUUGGGAGGCUGAGGCAGGAGAAUCACUUGAACCCAGGAGGCGGAGGUUGCAGUGAGCCAAAAUCAUGCCAUUGCACUCCAGCCUGGGUGACAAAGGGAGAUUCUGUCUCAA